AAUCAACGCUGGCGGCGUGCCUAACACAUGCAAGUCGAACGAGAAGGUGACUUCGGUCACUGGAUAGUGGCGUCCGGGUGAGUAACACGUAGGUAAUCUACCUUCGGGUGGGGAAUAACGUCUCGAAAGAGACGCUAAUACCGCAUAAUGCAGCGGCACCUAAUGGUGAUUAGUUGUUAAAGCGGGGGAUCUUCGGACCUCGCGCCUGAAGAGGAGCCUGCGGCAGAUUAGCUAGUUGGUGAGGUAAUGGCUCACCAAGGCUUCGAUCUGUAGCUGGUCUGAGAGGACGGCCAGCCACACUGGCACUGACACACGGGCCAGACUCCUACGGGAGGCAGCAGUGGGAAUCUUGCGCAAUGGGCGAAAGCCUGACGCAGCGACGCCGCGUGGGGAUGAAGCUUCUCGGAGUAGUAAACCCCCUUUCGACCCGGACGAAUAGCCCGCAAGGGACUU
rnacentral:rRNA from 1 species